rnacentral:tRNA from 1 species
GGCCGGGUAGCUCAGUUGGUAGAGCAGGGGACUGAAAAUCCCUGUGUCGGCGGUUCAAAUCCGUCUCUGGCCA